CCUACGGGAGGCAGCAGUGGGGAAUAUUGGACAAUGGGCGAAAGCCUGAUCCAGCAAUGCCGCGUGAGUGAUGAAGGCCUUAGGGUUGUAAAGCUCUUUUACCAGGGAUGAUAAUGACAGUACCUGGAGAAUAAGCUCCGGCUAACUCCGUGCCAGCAGCCGCGGUAAUACGGAGGGAGCUAGCGUUGUUCGGAAUUACUGGGCGUAAAGCGUACGUAGGCGGUUAUUCAAGUCAGAGGUGAAAGCCUGGAGCUCAACUCCAGAACUGCCUUUGAAACUAGAUAGCUAGAAUCUUGGAGAGGUGAGUGGGAUUCCGAGUGUAGAGGUGAAAUUCGUAGAUAUUCGGAAGAACACCAGUGGCGAAGGCGACUCACUGGACAAGUAUUGACGCUGAGGUACGAAAGCGUGGGGAGCAAACAGGAUUAGAUACCCUGGUAGUCCACGCCGUAAACGAUGAUAACUAGCUGUUCGGGCUCUACGAGCUUGAGUGGCGCNGCUACGACAUUAAGUUAGUCCGUCCGUCGGGAGGUACGGUCGCGAGAAGUUAAACGUAACGUAAAGUUAAGUUAGUACGGCGUUGAGACGNGCCGACGGACGACGACGAGGGAGGAGG
rnacentral:rRNA from 1 species